UUUUUUAUGGAAUUCUCAAACUGAUUUUCCUCUAACAUUUUUUUUUCCAGGAAAGAAACACAACCUAGAGAACAAGAAUAAAGCUUCCAUGGAAAGCCCCAGAAGGAAUUCAAGUGGAAAUACCCUGAGAUCCCUACUCACAAGACCUGGCCUAGAAAAUAAUCACCAAAGGUGAUUGCCCUCAACUCUACUACCCACUGACUCAACCUUUCUUCUAACUGUGUGACUGAUUCCACGUGGACUUUGAGAAGACCAUGUUCAGUGUAAAUGUGAUUUAAACUUCCAUCUGUGAAAGCAAUUCAACAACGCAUUCUGGUUUUUAAUUCUUGUGUUGAAACAAAAGCAAGUCCCCAUCCCAUCGUUAAAAUCAUAGUGAGAUAUCACUUCACACCUGAUGGAAUGGCUAUCAUCACCAAGACAAGAGACGGCAAGUGUUGGCAAGGGUGAGGCAAAAAAAGAAGACUUGUGCAUUGUUGGUGGGAUUGUGAAUUGGUACACUCACUGUGGAAAGCAAUAUGGAGGUUCUUCAAAGAAUUGAAAAGAGAACUUCCAUAUGAUCCAACAAUUCUCCUUCCGGGUUUGUCUUCUGAUCGAAAAAAAAUAUAUGGCUAAGAAUUACUCCCAGUACAAGAUAAUGAAGUCAUACCAAUUCACACAGGGAAUCAGAAAAUUCAGCUUUUUCCAGUGGUUGCAAAUUUACGUCAUUUUUGCCAAGUGCUAUGACCCAAGAAACUAAAACUUUGCCUGGCACCAUGAAGAUUUGAUCCUGGCCUUUCUGUAGAUGAUCAUGU
rnacentral:lncRNA from 1 species